rnacentral:rRNA from 1 species
UCAUUACCGAGUGAGGGCCCUCCGGGUCCAACCUCCCACCCGUGUUUAUCGUACCUUGUUGCUUCGGCGGGCCCGCCUCACGGCCGCCGGGGGGGUUCUGCCCUCUGGCCCGCGCCCGCCGAAGACACCAUUGAACGCUGUCUGAAGAUUGCAGUCUGAGCAAUUAGCUAAAUAAGUUAAAACUUUCAACAACGGAUCUCUUGGUUCCGGCAUCGAUGAAGAACGCAGCGAAAUGCGAUACGUAAUGUGAAUUGCAGAAUUCAGUGAAUCAUCGAGUCUUUGAACGCACAUUGCGCCCCCUGGUAUUCCGGGGGGCAUGCCUGUCCGAGCGUCAUUGCUGCCCUCAAGCACGGCUUGUGUGUUGGGCCUCCGUCCUCCUCCCGGGGGACGGGCCCGAAAGGCAGCGGCGGCACCGCGUCCGGUCCUCGAGCGUAUGGGGCUUCGUCACCCGCUCUUGUAGGCCCGGCCGGCGCUUGCCGACACAUCAAUCUUUUUUUCCAGGUUGACCUCGGAUCAGGUAGGGAUACCCGCUGAACUUAAGC